rnacentral:rRNA from 1 species
CCAGACUCCUACGGGAGGCAGCAGUGGGGAAUAUUGCGCAAUGGGGGCAACCCUGACGCAGCAACGCCGCGUGAUUGAAGAAGGCCUUCGGGUUGUAAAGAUCUUUAAUCAGGGACGAAAAAUGACGGUACCUGAAGAAUAAGCUCCGGCUAACUACGUGCCAGCAGCCGCGGUAAUACGUAGGUGGCAAGCGUUGUCCGGAAUUACUGGGUGUAAAGGGAGCGCAGGCGGGAAGCCAAGUCAGCUGUGAAAACUACGGGCUUAACUUGUAGACUGCAGUUGAAACUGGUUUUCUUGAGUGAAGUAGAGGUUGGCGGAAUUCCGAGUGUAGCGGUGAAAUGCGUAGAUAUUCGGAGGAACACCGGUGGCGAAGGCGGCCAACUGGGCUUUAACUGACGCUGAGGCGCGAAAGCGUGGGGAGCAAACAGGAUUAGAUACCCCUGUA